GACGAACGCUGGCGGCGUGCUUAACACAUGCAAGUCGAACGGAAAGGCCCUGCUUUUGUGGGGUGCUCGAGUGGCGAACGGGUGAGUAACACGUGAGUAACCUGCCCUUGACUUUGGGAUAACUUCAGGAAACUGGGGCUAAUACCGGAUAGGAGCUCCUGCUGCAUGGUGGGGGUUGGAAAGUUUCGGCGGUUGGGGAUGGACUCGCGGCUUAUCAGCUUGCUAGUGGGGUAGUGGCUUACCAAGGCUUUGACGGGUAGCCGGCCUGAGAGGGUGACCGGCCACAUUGGGACUGAGAUACGGCCCAGACUCCUACGGGAGGCAGCAGUGGGGAAUACUGCACAAUGGGCGGAAGCCUGAUGCAGCAACGCCGCGUGCGGGAUGACGGCCUUCGGGUUGUAAACCGCUUUCGCCUGUGACGAAGCGUGAGUGACGGUAAUGGGUAAAGAAGCACCGGCUAACUACGUG
rnacentral:rRNA from 1 species